CCUACGGGAGGCAGCAGUGGGGGAUAUUGCACAAUGGGGGGAACCCUGAUGCAGCGACGCCGCGUGGGUGAAGGAGUGCUUCGGCAUGUAAAGCCCUAUCGGCAGGGAAGAAGCAAGACGGUACCUGACUAAGAAGCCCCGGCUAACUACGUGCCAGCAGCCGCGGUAAUACGUAGGGGGCGAGCGUUAUCCGGAUUCACUGGGUGUAAAGGGAGCGUAGACGGCCAAGCAAGUCAGAUGUGAAAACCAUGGGCUCAACCUGUGGCCUGCAUUUGAAACUGGUUUUCUUGAGUACUGGAGAGGCAGACGGAAUUCCUAGUGUAGCGGGGAAAUGCGUAGAUAUUAGGAGGAACACCAGUGGCGAAGGCGGUCUGCUGGACAGCAACUGACGCUGAGGCGCGAAAGCGUGGGGAGCAAACAGGAUUAGAUACCCGUGUAGUC
rnacentral:rRNA from 1 species